UCCUGGUUAGCUCAGUUGAUAGAGAGCUCCACUGUAAAUGGAGAGGUCCGUGUUUGACACGCGGACCAGGCG
rnacentral:tRNA from 1 species